rnacentral:rRNA from 1 species
AUACGGAGGGUGCAAGCGUUAUUCGGAAUCACUGGGCGUAAAGGACGCGUAGGCGGGUUGGCAAGUCAGAUGUGAAAUCCUACAGCUUAACUGUAGAACUGCAUUUGAAACUGCUAACCUAGAGUAUGGGAGGGGGAGAUGGAAUUAGUGGCGUAGGGGUAAAAUCCGUAGAUAUCACUAGGAAUACCGAAAGCGAAGGCGAUCUCCUGGAACAUAACUGACGCUAAGGCGUGAAAGCGUGGGGAGCGAACAGGAUUAGAAACCCGAGUAGUCC